rnacentral:rRNA from 1 species
CCUGGCGGCCGUAGCGUGGUGGCCCUACCUGACCCCAUGCCGAACUCAGAAGCGAAACGCCCUAGCGCCGAUGGUAGUGUGGGGUCUCCCCCUG